rnacentral:rRNA from 1 species
GACGAACGCUGGCGGCGUGCCUAAUACAUGCAAGUAGAACGCUGAAGGAGGAGCUUGCUUCUCUGGAUGAGUUGCGAACGGGUGGGUAACGCGUAGGUAACCUGCCUGGUAGCGGGGGAUAACUAUUGGAAACGAUAGCUAAUACCGCAUAAGAGUAGAUGUUGCAUGACAUUUGCUUAAAAGGUGCAAUUGCAUCACUACCAGAUGGACCUGCGUUGGAUUAGCUAGUUGGUGGGGUAACGGCUCACCAAGGCGACGUUACAGAGCCGACCUGAGAGGUUGAUCGGCCACACUGCGACGGCGACACGGCCCAGCAGCCUACGGGAGGCAGCAGUAGGGAGGCAUCGUGAAUGGACGGAAGACUGACCGAGCAACGCCGCGUGAGUGAAGAAGGUUUUCGGAUCGUAAAGCUCUGUUGUAAGAGAAGAAGGAGGGUGAGAGUUGAAAGUUCACGCUGUGGCGGUAUCUUACCAGAAAGGGACGGCUAACUACGUG